UACGUAGGGUGCGAGCGUUAAUCGGAAUUACUGGGCGUAAAGGGUGCGCAGGCGGUUAUAUAAGACAGAUGUGAAAUCCCCGGGCUCAACCUGGGAACUGCGUUUGUGACUGUAUGACUAGAGUACGGUAGAGAGGGGUGGAAUUCCUGGUGUAGCAGUGAAAUGCGUAGAUAUCAGGAGGAACACCGGUGGCGAAGGCGGGUCUCUGGGCCGAUACUGACGCUGAGGAGCGAAAGCAUGGGUAGCGAACAGG
rnacentral:rRNA from 1 species